GCUUUGGGAGAGCUCAGUCGAUAGAGCAUGAGACUCUUAAUCUCAGGGUACUGGGUUUGAGUCCCAACUUGGGCA